rnacentral:rRNA from 1 species
GUCAUAUGCUUGUCUCAAAGAUUAAGCCAUGCAUGUCUCAGUACAAGCCGAAUUAAGGUGAAACCGCGAAAGGCUCAUUAAAUCAGUUAUGGUUCCUUAGAUCGUACCCACAAUUACUUGGAUAACUGUGGUAAUUCUAGAGCUAAUACAUGCAAACAGAGCUCCGACCGGAGACGGAAGGAGUGCUUUUAUUAGAUCAAAACCAAUCGGUGGCGGGUUCGCUCGUUAUCGUACAACUUGGUGACUCUGAAUAACUUUACGCUGAUCGCACGGUCAUCGCACCGGCGACGCAUCUUUCAAAUGUCUGCCUUAUCAACUGUCGAUGGUAGGUUCUGCGCCUACCAUGGUUGUAACGGGUAACGGGGAAUCAGGGUUCGAUUCCGGAGAGGGAGCCUGAGAAACGGCUACCACAUCCAAGGAAGGCAGCAGGCGCGCAAAUUACCCACUCCCGGCACGGGGAGGUAGUGACGAAAAAUAACGAUACGGGACUCAUCCGAGGCCCCGUAAUCGGAAUGAGUACACUCUAAACCCUUUAACGAGGAUCAAUUGGAGGGCAAGUCUGGUGCCAGCAGCCGCGG